GCAGAGCUGGCCCCUGACUCACAGCCCACAGAGUUCCACCUGCUCACAGGUUGGCUGGCUCAGCCAAGGUGGUGCCCUGCUCUGAGCAUUCAGGCCAAGCCCAUCCUGCACCAUGGCCAGGUACAGAUGCUGUCGCAGCCAGAGCCGGAGCAGAUAUUACCGCCAGAGACAAAGAAGUCGCAGACGAAGGAGGCGGAGCUGCCAGACACGGAGGAGAGCCAUGAGGUGCUGCCGCCCCAGGUACAGACCGCGAUGUAGAAGACACUAAUUGCACAAAAUAGCACAUCCACCAAACUCCUGCCUGAGAAUGUUACCAGACUUCAAGAUCCUCUUGCCACAUCUUGAAAAUGCCACCAUCCAAUAAAAAUCAGGAGCCUGCUAAGGAACAAUGCCGCCUGUCAAUAAAUGUUGAAAAGUCAUCCCA
rnacentral:lncRNA from 1 species